CUCCUUGCCCACCUCCCCUCCGCGCUCUUGGCGCGCCUCGCCUCCUUUUCGCUCCGCCCUGCCAAUCAAUUGCGCUCGCGGCUACGUGUGCCGUCACACGUAGUGAUCGAGAUGGCGUAGAUAGGUCCGAGCCGGAGGCUUGGCGGUCUACCCUCCAAAGGGAGCGGUGGGUGAAGGAAAGCGGGGCAGUUCGCUGCCGAACGGUCGAAUGGAUUCGUUUUCCCAGAGGUCCGGACCGAGUCCCGUCAACGGCCAACAGCUUUCCCGCGGCAGGUAGCGGAAGACGACGGUAUGGAUGCCGGAAAGGAACAUGCGCAGUCUCUCAUUCAUUCCCUCUUCCCCAGCGCGCCGGGUUGAGGCAGGGACUGCUCUUGGGAAAAUGAAAGAGAAAGUAGGAUACACACACUUCUGCAGAAUAGAAGCCAGGAUUCCAAGAGUUGUGAAUAGAAAAAGGGAACUUCCCAAGAAGGAAUGAUAAUAAUAUCUAGCAUUUAAGCGGCACGCUAAGAUUUUCAAGACCUUUAUAGACCACUCAUUUUAUUCUCACCAUAAUUCCAGGAGACAGAUGCUAUUAUUAUUUCCAUUUUACAAAUGAGAAAACUUGAGGCAAACAGGAUUAAAUGACUUGCCUAGGGUCAUAUAGCUAGUAUAUGAGGCCAUAUUUAAGCUAAGGUCUUCCACUCCAAAUCCAGUGCUUUAUCCACUGAGCCACCUGGCUGCCCCAGAAUGGCAUUUUAUACUAAGUUAGGGAAAAAGUGGAAUUUGGCAUGCUAAAAUUGGCAGCUGAAUUUAUACAAUGCUUUAAUGUUAGCAAAAUGCUUUCUUCACAUGGUGAAACUAUUAUCCCAUUUUAUAGAUGAGGCAACUGAGGCAUAAAGCUGCUGGAAUAUGAACUCAGCGUCAUGCAGCAUUUGUUAGAAUGGGAGCUCUUGAAAAGCAAGAACCAUCUCUUUAAUUUGUAUCCCCUCUGAUCUGUAUAUAGUAGACUCAAUAUUUGCUUUGUCCUUGGGUGAUUAAUUUAUUCACGUCUUCUUUGCAGAUGAUAUGAUGGUAUACUUAGAGAACCCCAGAGAUUCUACUAAAAAGCUAUUAGAAAUAAUUCAUAAUUUUAGCAAAGUUGCAGGAUACAAAAUAAAUCCCCAUAAAUCCUCAGCAUUUUUAUACAUCACCAACAAAAUCCAACAGCAAGAGAUACAAAGAGAAAUUCCAUUCAAAAUAACUGUCGACAGCAUAAAAUAUUUGGGAAUCUAUCUACCAAAGGAAAGUCAGGAAUUAUAUGAGCAAAAUUACAAAAAACUUUCCACACGAAUAAAAUCAGACUUAAAUAACUGGAAAAAUAUUAAGUGCUCUUGGAUAGGCCAAGCAAAUAUAAUAAAGAUGACAAUAUUCCCUAAACUAAUCUAUUUAUUUAGUGCUAUACUAAUCAGACUUCCAAGAAAAUAUUUUAAUGAUCUAGAAAAAAUAACAAAAUUCAUAUGGAAGAACAAAAGAGCGAGAAUCUCAAAAGAAUUAAUGAAAAAAAAAAAAUCAAAUGAAGGUGGCCCAGCUGUACCUGAUCUAAAACUAUAUUAUAAAACAGCAGUCACCAAAACCGUUUGGUAUUGGUUAAGAAAUAGAUUAGUUGAUCAGUGGAAUAGAUUUAAGUUCACAAGACAGAAUAGUCAACUGUAGCAAUCUAGUAUUUGACAAACCCAAAGAUCUUAACUUUGGGGAUAAGAAUUCAUUAUCUGACAAAAACUGCUGCAAUAACUGGAAAUUAGUAUGGCAGAAAUUAGUCAUGGACCCGCACUUAACACCAUAUACCAAGAUAAGAUCAAAAUGGGUCCAUGAUUAAGGCAUAAAGAAUGAGAUUAUAAAUAAAUUAGAGGAACAUAGGAUAGUUUAUCUCUCAGACUUGUGGAGGAGGAAGAAAUUUGUGACCAAAGAUGAACUAGAGACCAUUACUGAUCACAAAAUAGAAAAUCUUGAUUACAUCAAAUUAAAAAGCCAUUGUACAAACAAAACUAAUGCCAACAAGAUUAGAAGGAAAGCAACAAACUGGGAAAAAUCUUCACAGUUAAAGGUUCUGAUAAAGGCCUCAUUUCCAAAAUAUAUAGAGGAUUGACUCUAAUUUAUAAGAAAUCAAGCCAUUCUCCAAUUGAUAAAUGGUCAAAGGAUAUGAACAGACAAUUUUCAGAUGAUGAAAUUGAAACUAUUUCUACUCAUAUGAAAGAGUGUUCCAAAUCACUAUUGAUCAGAGAAAUGCAAAUUAAGACAACUCUGAGAUAUCACUACACACCUGUCAGCAGUGCUACCACUGGGCUUAUACCCCAAAGAGAUACUAAAGAAGAGAAAGGGACCUGUAUGUACCAAAAUGUUUGUGGCAGCCCUGUUUGUAGUGGCUAGAAACUGGAAAAUGAAUGGAUGCCCAUCAGUUGGAGAAUGGUUGGGUAAAUUGUGGUAUAUGAAUGUUAUGGAAUAUUAUUGUUCUGUAAGAAAUGACCAGCAGGAUGAAUACAGAGAGGAUUGGAGAGACUCACAUGAACUGAUGCUGAGUGAAAUGAGCAGAACCAGGAGAUCAUUAUAUACUUCAAUAACGAUAAUGUAUGAGGAUGUAGUCUGAUGGAAGUGGAUCUCUUUGACAAGGAGAUCUAACUCAGUUCCAACUGAUCAGUGAUGGACAGAAUCAGCUACACCCAAAGAAAGAACACUGGGAAAUUGUUGGAAUCUUUACAAACUGUUAAAUCAUUAGAGUUGAGAUGUUUUGGGCCAGAACCUGAAACAAGGUACUAAGUAGAGCUAAUUGAUACAGUGCUUGUAUUUACACCUUUACUCAUUGGAAUUCACAAUUAUGGGAGAGUCACAAAGUUAACUGUGUAACUAAUCCCUCUUUCUCGUAUCCCACAAUUCCUCUUUCUCAUAUAUAAGAAACAGAGGCUCUCAGAGAGAGAUUCAUUCCAUUUUCCACUUGGCUGGCUGGUGGCAGAAGAGAGUUCAGCUGAAUUACAUUGGAGAGGAGCACUCUGGGCCAGACACAGAGCACUCUGGGAGAGCCAGAAGCCCUCUCUUGGAGGCAAGAAAGAUUCAUUACAACUUUUACCUUGAUGCUGGCUGGAGACAGAGGCAGAAGCAAAGGACAAAGCUGCAAGAGCUCUUCGGAGGCAAAACAGAUUCAACUUGGUGCUGGCUAGAGGCUGAAGGGAGCAGAGGCAAAGGACAAAGCUGCAAGAGCUCUUAGAACCAAGUUAACUGAAACUAAGGCUGCCUCCAGAAAACCUCCCUGAGAAACCUGCUUUCUCCCAGAGAGAACUAUCAUCUUAUAUUAAAGAAGAAAAACAUCACAGGAAAUGAAUGUCAACUGUUUGCAGUUUUUCUUCCCAGGGUAUUUCUACUUCUGAAUCCAAUUCUCCCUGUGCAACAAGAGAACUGUUCGGUUCUGCACACAUAUAUGGUAUCAAGACUAUACUGCGACAUAUUUAACAUAUAUAGGACUGCUUGCCAUCUUGGGGAAGGGAGGGAGGGAGGAGAAAAAUCGGAACAGAAGUGAGUGCAAGGGAUAAUGUAAAAAAUUAUCCUGGCAUGGGUUCUGUCAAUAAAAAGUUAUUAUAAAAAAAUAAAAUAAAAU